rnacentral:rRNA from 1 species
AUACGGAGGAUGCGAGCGUUAUCCGGAUUUAUUGGGUUUAAAGGGAGCGUAGGCGGGAGCUUAAGUCAGCGGUUAAAUGGUGCGGCUCAACCGUGCCCUGCCGUUGAAACUGGGUUUCUUGAGAGUGCAAGGGGCGGAUGGAAUUCAUGGUGUAGCGGUGAAAUGCUUAGAUAUCAUGAAGAACUCCGAUUGCGAAGGCAGCCUUCCGGCCCGUCAACGACGCUCAUGCUCGAAGGUGCGGGUAUCAAACAGGAUUAGAUACCCUGGUAGUCCGCACAGUAAACGAUGGACACCCGCGGUUUGGCCUGUAUGGCUGAGCCGCCAAGCGAAAGCGUUAAGUGUCCCACCUGGGGAGUACGCCGGCAACGGUGAAACUCAAAUGAAUUGGCGGGG